rnacentral:rRNA from 1 species
AUUGAACGCUGGCGGCAUGCCUUACACAUGCAAGUCGAACGGCAGCGGACCUUCGGGUGCCGGCGAGUGGCGAACGGGUGAGUAAAGUAUCGGAACGUACCUUUCAGUGGGGGAUAACUGUCCGAAAGGACAGCUAAUACCGCAUAUUCUGUGAGCAGGAAAGCAGGGGAUCGCAAGACCUUGCGCUGAUUGAGCGGCCGAUAUCAGAUUAGCUAGUUGGUGAGGUAAAGGCUCACCAAGGCGACGAUCUGUAACGGGUCUGAGAGGAUGAUCCGCCACACUGGAACUGAGACACGGUCCAGACUCCUACGGGAGGCAGCAGUGGGGAAUUUUGGACAAUGGGGGCAACCCUGAUCCAGCCAUGCCGCGUGAGUGAAGAAGGCCUCGGUUGUAAG